GUAGACAGAGGCUUAAGACUAUGCAGCAGUGUGCCUAGGUGGCCAAGAAGGCCAGUGGCAUCCUGGCCUCUAUCAGCAACAGUGUGGCCCACAGGACCAGGGCAGUCAUCGUUCCCUUGUACUCA